CUGAGACCGGUCCGGGGCUCGAGCCGGGGCCCCUUGCUCCGCCCACUCCCCUGGCUGUGGCCCCGGCAUGGCGGGCCCCUGGGGUGUCCCCGUAACCUGCGUGGGGUUCCUGAGGCUCAGGGCUCCUUGGGAGCGCAGGCCGCGGCUACCGCGGGGGCUCCACCCUACCAACUCCAUCCAGUCGCUCCAGCUCCACACCCAUUGGCUCAAGCCCCCACCCUGUUAACAUGAGACUCCUGAAUUUGGAGGGACAGAUGCUCACAGCAUAGCACCUGCCCUAGGAUUCUCCGGGUGGCUGUCACGCACACCUGCCCCGGCUUCUAGAAUGGGGGGUACAAAGCUGCUCAGUCCCUGGUGUGACUGCCCCGUGGCCUGGUCCCUAGGAGUGACGCCAGCCUGGGGGGCCGGGUCAAGGGCUGCUUCUGGUUUUGGGAGAAUCCCCUUGUCCUGGCAGGGGUGGGGCAGGGAGGGGUUUGCCAUCCCACAGGUAAGGCUGAGGCCCUCAAGGCUCCCUUGUCCCUGGGUGGACGCUCUUGUCCAGCUCUGGGCAAGCAUGCCCUUGGCUGGGGCCCUGAAGUGGGGCAGAGGUCACAGCUGCUGGCCAGUGGAGCUCGGCCACAGUCACACACGAGGGCGGGAGCACGAGCGUGGACAGGGCCCAGGGCUCUGGCUGCACGACUCCUCCUCCGUCCUCUGCCCACAGUUCUUCACUCAUGGAUGGCGAGGACUGCCCCAGGGUGGCAGUGAGGCCUGGCCACAGCUCAGGGAGCUUGCCGGGGGUGGGGGUCGGGGGUCACUGAGGAGCCGUAGCCUCCACUGCGCUCAGCUGCGACCCCUGCAGAGCCCGGGCGUCCGCAGUCCUCGCCCAGUGCAGUCCUCGCCCAGUGCGCGCUGCUGCCAGUCCUCCGUGGUUGCUGGGGUGGCCCGGGCCAGCCUAGGAGGGGGUGUGGCCGGCGGUUUUGUGGUCAUGACCACUGCUUCUCACAUGCUCCAGAGGAAGAAACUGACCAACCCUGAAUCCUGACAGCCUCAUGGAGCCAGAGCCCACCAGGCUCCCGGAAUCUGGAGCCCCCAGACCCCCUGUGGAACCAAGGACCUCGUGUCCGGCGACCGAGCCCUCGGAGGAGAGGAAGUUCCGGGUCCUGGUGGGCGUCACGGGCAGCGUGGCGGCCUUGAAGCUUCCUCUUCUGGUGUCAAGGCUUCUGGACGUGCCCGGGCUGGAAGUUGCAGUGGUCACAACUGAGAGAGCCAAACACUUCUACAGCCCCCAGGACGUGGCCGUCACCCUCUACAGCGACGCUGACGAGUGGGAGAUGUGGAAGCAGCGCUGUGACCCUGUGCUGCACAUUGACCUGCGGAGGUGGGCCGACCUCAUGCUGGUGGCCCCGCUGGACGCCAACACCCUGGGGAAGGUGGCCAGCGGCAUCUGUGACAACUUGCUUCCUCCCGGGAGCUGGCGUCCUGGGAGCUGCCCUUGCUUCUGUGGUCGUCCUGGAAGAUCUGAGUGCGAGCUCUCCCCUGCCGUGAGACACGGCACUCACGAUCGGAAGGCACGCUCACCCGCGCCCCAGCCAGCAGUACGGUCCUGCGAGGCCCUGUCGGGCACCCUGGUGUCGUGCGGGCGUGGGAGGCGAGUAGUGACUCCACUUUCACAGACAGCCCGCAGUUCUGAGCUCGAUUUGGGAAAGAACGGGAGUCGUGACGCGGAGGCGGGGCUUGGGGUCAGAUGCACGGUUUGUGUCCUUGCCCGCUUGCCAGUGGGCUCUGCAGUGUCAGCCUCGUCUGAGGCAGGGCUUGGGGCGAGCAGGGCGCCCACGCCGUGUGCUGCAGGAGAGCUGGCCCCUGGAGGCCACGCCGUGUGCUGCAGGACAGCUGGCCUCGGAGGCACCAGGAGCGCUUCCUGGCGGGGCUGCUCCUGGGGCCUGCAGGUGAGGCGCCCAGUCCUGCUCAUCACAGAGGGGUCAGCGUGUGUGACCAGCCUGACCCACAAGUCCCAGGCCUCCCACUGGCUGCCCAGCUGCCUCCCGUAUGACAAAGCUCGCUGACCUCAAGGACCUCUCCCUUCCUUUUUCCUUCAAAGCUGCUGCCACCCUGAACUCAGGACACCCCCCCCCCCCAGCUGGCAGGCACGAGGCUCACGAAGCUUGAACUGGUGUCCUCGCUCAGUGGCACUCACCGCAUGCCCCCUGCAGGGCCCCCCGCCUGCUGUCUCCCUCCCCACCUCUUCUCCCUUCCAGUCCAGACCCUGGGAUGCCAGGGGAGCCUGCUAGGAGUGGGCCUGUGCCCCUUGCCUCCGUGCCUGCCUUCUGGCCCAUGCAGGCCCCGGCCUGUCCUGUGCCACACAAGCAGGCAGAUCUAGAGAGAGGAGGUGACUUCCCAGCAUGGAACGUGCAGCUGGGAGCGGGCUGUUGGCUGAGCACCAGCCCUUUGGUGUCUGGUUGGAUUCCUGGGUGCAGAACCAGAGGCGCAGGACACAGAUAGGAGUGGCCGUGUGAGCCAGUGACUUCCUCUCCUCCCUCCUGCUGCCAGUGGGUGACAGGCAGGGUGGCAGGCAGGUGGCUCAGAGGAGCCGUGGGCUGCCCAGGAAGUGCUGCUGUCCAAGGUGAGGUAGGGAGAGCUUGCUGUGCUGGGCUUUGAAGAGGGCACCUAGGAGCCCCCACUCAGCCCCCCACCCCACAGCGCUAGGGCAGCAGCAGGUGGCUGGGGCCAGGAGGAAGUGCAACCGAAACCGGCCACUCACAGCCCAGCUGCUGUGUUGCCAGCACUGGGUGGGAAACCGACGCUGUGUCUGAGAUGACGCAGGCAGUAGGUCUGGGGCUGUGUGGGACAGAACUUCCUUCCUGUCCCCAGGGGAGGGCAAGGGCACCUAGGGCAGCUGUGGUCCUGGCCUGUUGGUAGCAUUCCCAGAUGGGCCGCACUGCAGGGGGGUUUCAUGUCCAGGGAGGAGGCGCCUGCAGCCGUUGGUGCCUGGGGGAGCCCGCUCCCUCCUGGGGCAGCCCCCGGCCCAGGGAGCCUGUGUCUGGCAACCACAGGAACUGCUUGAGGGCCGGGGCCUCGCGCCAGCCCUUGCUGUGAGCCCUGACAGCCUCUCGCCCGCAGGCCUUGCAGCUACACAGGAAGGACUCUGAGGGAGGGGCUGCGCCCCCCAGCCCGUGAGAGGAGGCACAGCCAGACCUGUGUCAUCCGGGCCUGGGACCGCAGCAAGCCCCUGCUCUUCUGCCCGGCAAUGAACACGGCCAUGUGGGAGC